UGAGAGUUCAAUUUCACACUGAGUAAUGCA
rnacentral:piRNA from 1 species